UACGUAGGGUGCGAGCGUUGUCCGGAAUUAUUGGGCGUAAAAGAGCUCGUAGGCGGUCUGUCGCGUCUGCUGUGAAAUCCCGAGGCUCAACCUCGGGCUUGCAGUGGGUACGGGCAGACUAGAGUGUGGUAGGGGAGACUGGAAUUCCUGGUGUAGCGGUGAAAUGCGCAGAUAUCAGGAGGAACACCGAUGGCGAAGGCAGGUCUCUGGGCCACUA
rnacentral:rRNA from 1 species